rnacentral:misc_RNA from 1 species
GAAAUGCGAUAAGUAGUGUGAAUUGCAGAAUUCAGUGAAUCAUCGAAUCUUUGAACGCACAUUGCGCCUUCUAGUAUUCUGGGAGGCAUGCCUGUUUGAGCGUCAUUAAAACCUACUCAAGUAGUUUACUUGGAAGUGAAGGAAGAAUACUUUUUAAAUAAAGAGUUCUCCUUUGAAAUUGAUUAGCAGAUGGUAUAAAAUCCUGACGUUGCAAGAUUUUUUUAUCUUUCGAAGGUGAUUUUAUUUAUCUUGCUUCAAAUCCAUUUAUUGGCAUAUAUAUUAUAGUUGACCUCAAAUCAGGUAGGGAUACCCGCUGAACUUAA